rnacentral:rRNA from 1 species
UACGGGGGGUGCAAGCGUUGUUCGGAAUUACUGGGCGUAAAGGGCGCGUAGGCGGGUGGACAAGUCUCUCCUGAAAGCCCACGGCUCAACCGUGGAAUUGCGGGAGAUACUGUCUGUCUUGAGUCCGGGAGAGGAGGGUGGAAUUCCCAGUGUAGCGGUGAAAUGCGUAGAUAUUGGGAGGAACCCCGGUGGCGAAGGCGGCUCUCUGGACCGGUACUGACGCUGAGGCGCGAAAGCUAGGGGAGCAAACGGG